AUUGAACGCUGGCGGCAUGCCUUACACAUGCAAGUCGAACGGUAACAGGUCUUCGGAUGCUGACGAGUGGCGAACGGGUGAGUAAUACAUCGGAACGUGCCUAGUAGUGGGGGAUAACUACUAGAAAGAGUGGCUAAUACCGCAUGAGAUCUACGGAUGAAAGCAGGGGAUCGCAAGACCUUGUGCUACUAGAGCGGCCGAUGGCAGAUUCGGUAGUUGGGGGGAUAAAAGCUUACCAAGCCGACGAUCUGUAGUUGGUCUGAGAGGACGAUCAACCAGACUGGGACUGAGACAAGGCCAAAACUCGUGCGGGAGGCCGCAGUGGGGAAUUUUGGACAAUGGGCGCAAGCCUGAUCCAGCAAUGGCGCGUCCAGGCUGAAGGCCUUCGGGUUCUAAACUGCUUUUGUACGGAACCAAAAGCCCUGAGUUAAUACCCUGGGGUAAUGACGGUACCGUAAGAAAAAGCACCGGCUAACUCUGUGCCAGCAGCCGCCGUAAAAC
rnacentral:rRNA from 1 species